rnacentral:rRNA from 1 species
AACGAACGCUGGCGGCAGGCUUAACACAUGCAAGUCGAGCGCCCCGCAAGGGGAGCGGCAGACGGGUGAGUAACGCGUGGGAAUCUACCGUGCCCUGCGGAAUAGCUCCGGGAAACUGGAAUUAAUACCGCAUACGCCCUACGGGGGAAAGAUUUAUCGGGGUAUGAUGAGCCCGCGUUGGAUUAGCUAGUUGGUGGGGUAAAGGCCUACCAAGGCGACGAUCCAUAGCUGGUCUGAGAGGAUGAUCAGCCACAUUGGGACUGAGACACGGCCCAAACUCCUACGGGAGGCAGCAGUGGGGAAUAUUGGACAAUGGGCGCAAGCCUGAUCCAGCCAUGCCGCGUGAGUGAUGAAGGCCCUAGGGUUGUAAAGCUCUUUCAACGGUGAAGAUAAUGACGGUAACCGUAGAAGAAGCCCCGGCUAACUUCGUGCCAGCCGCCGCCGUAAUAC